UGCCAGCCGCCGCGGUAAUACGGAGGGGGUUAGCGUUGUUCGGAAUUACUGGGCGUAAAGCGCGCGUAGGCGGAUUGGAAAGUUGGGGGUGAAAUCCCAGGGCUCAACCCUGGAACUGCCUCUAAUACUGCUAGUCUUGAGUUCGAGAGAGGUGAGUGGAAUUCCGAGUGUAGAGGUGAAAUUCGUAGAUAUUCGGAGGAACACCAGUGGCGAAGGCGGCUAACUGGACUGAUACUGACGCUGAGGUGCGAAAGUGUGGGGAGCAAACAGGAUUAGAUA
rnacentral:rRNA from 1 species